AGGGGCCCUUCUCGGGUUACCGAAUUCAGAUAAACUCCGAAUGCCAUGUACUUAUACUCGGGAGUCAGACUGCGAGUGAUAAGAUCCGUAGUCGAAAGGGAAACAGCCCAGACCACCAGUUAAGGUCCCCAAAUAUAUGUUAAGUGGAAAAGGAUGUGGGGUUGCUUAGACAACCAGGAUGUUGGCUUAGAAGCAGCCACCAUUGAAAGAGUGCGUAAUAGCUCACUGGUCGAGUGACCCCGCGCCGAAAAUGUACCGGGGCUAAACAUAUUACCGAAACUGUGGAUGAACCUCUUUAGAGGUUCGUGGUAGGAGAGCGUUCUAAGGGCGGUGAAGUCAGACCGGAAGGACUGGUGGAGCGCUUAGAAGUGAGAAUGCCGGUAUGAGUAGCGAAAGAAGGGUGAGAAUCCCUUCCACCGAAUAUCUAAGGUUUCCUGAGGAAGGCUCGUCCGCUC
rnacentral:rRNA from 1 species